UCUGAGCUUGCCUCACCCUCAGACACUGCUGCAUGUAAAACAGCAGUAGCACAGACUGGAGCAAGUGCCUUGACAGGCCCUCCAUCACUUCUCUACUCCUGUCCCAUUAACAAACACAUCUCCACCAGCCAGCCUGCGCUCUGCUCUUUGGGGAGAAUGUGGGGACAGUCAGUGGCAGGCCAGGAUGAAAGAGGAGUGACAAGAAUGAAAUGUUCAGAGUUAAAUCUAAGACCAAAGUUGAUGAGGUACAGCCACUUUUGAUGGCCUAGGCCUUGACCUCAUAGUUGUAGUUGCAUCGAUAAUGACAACUCAUUUAAUUACUUAACUUUGUUUUCCCAAUCCCAAGCAUUUCUACCAGCUGAGACCACUCCCAUGUUUCAUUAGAAAUUCCCAAUUUGAUUUGGAGGUGCCCUUGGAGAACUUUGCCAUCUGCUCUGAGAAGACGGUCAACAUGUGGCCAGCUAUUACAUAUAUAAAACUACUGCAUUGGAAGACAUCCUACAGUUCUGCUACGUAAAGAGCAAAGCCUUUGUCAUGCCAUCAAUUCCAUUUAUAGGGUUUAUAAUCACCACUCAUUUAUUCAAGUUGUAGCAUAUGUCAAAGUCUGAACUGGUUCUGGUGACAUAAAAGUGAAUUAGCUGUGGAUCUUACUUUCAGAUAAUUCACAGUCUUAUAGAGGAACAAGGCUGAGGAGAAUCUCUAACCUACUAGGAUAUAAUUUUAAAAGCAAUAUAAUACAUAGUGAAAUGUACUUGAGACAUGGCCCAGUAGUAAUGGCAUCAGAUGUCUUAGCAGGAGUAAUCAGAAAUUUUAAUUUUAUUAUGGAAUUAUUUUUGUCCCCACUCUGUGGGGACACUAUACUCCCCACGAGGCUCAGUACUGUUCCUCCUACAUCAGCACAAACAUACAUGACUGCCUCAGCGGGGAAGAUAGAGGCAGAGACUAGAGAACUGGGAAUUAAAUGGCUUUGUCUGGAAACAAUAUGCAUCACUUCUUACUCAUCAGGCAAAGCAAGUCACAAGCUGUGGCUAAGUUGAAGGGAACAGGAAAAUAUAGCAUUUCUAUUGUGUCUGUGCUAGAGAGGAAAGCAGCAUAUUAGUGAAUAGAAUAGUAGUCAUAUCAGCUAGAGUGCCUCAAGCCUUUCCCAUCUCUUAAACUUUUGUCUAAAGAGAUACAUCAUGUAGGGAAUCUUAAAGUUUGAGAUUCAGACAAUGGGGCAAAGUCUAUAUGGUUUAAAUAGUCAAAUACUUUAUUGGGUGACAUUAAGUAGCUUACAGACUUCCUGGGAAGGCCAGAGAGUCAAGCUUGGAAGAUCUUAAGACAGGAGCAAUGCCAAACCAUAGUAUGAGUUGGCUCAAGAACAGCAUGGUCGCCCCUACCAGGACAGGAGUCAGGUCCAUAGCUGCCCUUGCUGAUGCUUGGGUGUGGACACUAGCAUCUUCGUCAUUUUUGC
rnacentral:lncRNA from 10 species